UUUAAAAUGGAAGAUGGCGUGUUUGUCCGGCGGAUGGCCCCUGGAUCCCCACGUCGAGAGCGGAUUCAACUACAAAUAUUUCCCGAUCGACAGCGUCUUGAGGUUUAACCUGGUGGAGGAUCUCGUUCUCUGGCGUCAAGGAUAUAGUUCUCAUUUGGAAGAAAGCUUAAUUCGUACUUUGAAGCCGGAGGAUAUGAUUAAUAUCGACACCAUGAUUGUCGGCAUUUUGGUUUGUUUAUUUUCCAGGAACAAAGUGAUCCUCCAACACUUUCAAAAUUUUGAAGACACAUUCGAAAAGUCCUCCAUCAUUUCGACGAUCCUGAGAACUGCAGCGAGAAAACACGGACCCUAUCUGGACGUCGUUUCGUGCACGUCAAUCAUGAAAAAUUGGUUUUAUCCCAAAACCAUAAUACCAAUAAAAUAUGAUUACAUUUAAAUGUCGUGCUCAUCGGCGUUGUUAGGAAACACAGUGAUUGUCCGCAACUCAAAUUUGCUUGAUUUUUGACUAUUUUUUUCCUGACUUAUUUCCCUUUUUUACUUUUGAGAUAUUUUUAGACUUUUCCUUCAAACGAAAAUAAAAGGGUAGGAAGGGUAAGAGUAGCAAUGGAGAGGAAGUGAUGAGGAGUCGUUCGCGCGCGCCCUUCUUUUUAUUUUAGCCAUGUAAUAUUCCCCCCUUUUUUCCCCUUUAAAUUUCACUUUUCUUUGCUUUUCUUCCCUUUUUUAGAGUUGCGGACCCCUUUUGCUAUUACACAGAAAUGGCUAUGUUGAUUCGUUAAUCGUAUAGUUGCUGAUUUUUCGCGUGAUAUUAUUUUGCCACGAAUUCUCAACGUGCGAGUCAAAAAGGGCGACGAUUUUUCAGUCGUAGGAAAACGUUUGUUAGUUCGCUAAUCACACGUCAGCUUAAUGUUCUUGAUUUUAUACCACUCGAUUUUAUUAUUUCGAAUUUUUAGUUGAAUUAUUUUAUUUAUAGCGAUGGAUGUAUUAGAUACAACACUAGAUAGUCAGCUGGGUACACUACGGAUACUCUGGCAUUAUUUUGCUCGGUUCUCUUCAUUCUCGACGUUCGCUUCUUGCGAUGUUCCUGCCCUUGAAUAUUGCCGUCGUCCAAGUUUUGUAACAGGGACUAACCUAAGUGAAAUCCCUUUUCAGAUUUGGAUCAAGGGCUAAAUUUGGUCCAAUGAGAAUCAUCCAUCAAAAUGAGACCUUAAAAAGGUGUCCAGAUAGUGUUGUUGUCCAGAUAGCAGAUUGCGAAUUAUUACCCAAAAUAUUUUAUUUGAAACGUCGUAGACAAAAGAAGGCAGGGGUUGGUGGACGACGCCCAUCAUUUUUGUCGGAGAAAUUUUUUUUAAAUUGCGCAUUUUUCUUUUUCAUCUUCGACAUUAUUUUGUCAACGGCUGUCCUUGAACGUCGCCAUCUUCCCAUUCAUCGGCGACCUUUUUGUGUUUCACUUUGUUGACUCAACAGUUGUGUCGUUGAAAAGUUGUUGGUGUACAGUCAACGUGCUGCGCUGACUUAUUCCAGAUUGUUUGAAAUUUAAUUUGACAAUGUGACGCGAGUCAAAGGACACCAACAAGUGUUUCACGAAGGUCAAAUGUAUUCCAAAUGAACAACCCAUUGGAGUCAAUCAUAUCCACCAGAAUUUUUUUUCUAAGGAUAUUGCGUAGUUCAUCUAUUGCGUGUUCAUCUUGACCCAGGGUUAGAAUGACGUCACUCCUGUGAAAGCGCCUGGGUAUCCAUUUCUAGCACAUCCUUUUCAUUUUUUAAAAUUCCCAAUAAAUUUAAAAAAAAAUCCUCCAAUGAAUGAAUCACGUCAAAUUCAUUUUACCGAUUCCCCAGCUGACGAUUCCAACUUGUUCAUAUUUGCAUUUCGCUCUGUGCGAUUUGACGACCAGUGGACCGCCAUUGUCGCCAUGUCAUAAAAUAAUUUCCGUUCAGUCUUUUCCCCUGUGCCCCGAACACGUCUUAAACUUCCAACAUUUCACAAAAACAUCACUAAAUCUAUGAUUUUACAUUAUUUAUUUCAAAUGCGUCCAAUUGUGUUAAUUCUUAUUGGAUUUGGAUUUUCUAGGGAUGUGAAGGGAUUGCGAGUAGGCUAUGUCGGGGGCUAUGUGUAACCACUUUCAUUGAAAUGGGAUUGGCUUAUCCGUGAAAUGGCGCAUGCAUUAUUGAAAAGAGGUGGCAGUCAUAGCUGAAGUAUAGCGGUAUAGCGCCAGAGAUUGUUCUUCAUCGGCCGAUUGAACUAAAUUGUUUCAAAUUCUGCUGACAAACGUGUUUGCUCACCUUGCUGGUUAUUCCUCAAACAAAUGGCCCAGUAUCUUCCGUCAAGAGCCGCCGUCUUCUUUCUAUUAGCGGCCGUUCUGCUGUUUUACUCCUGCCCAGCUAGUGCUGGCAACAGAGUCCCGAAAAGCGAAAGGUUUGCGCCAACUUUGGACGAAACAACCCGAAAUGACUGUCAAACAAGGAAAGAAUUAGCGGAAAAAAGCGACAGCCAGAUAAGAAUGAUUAACAGUGACGAAAUCUACCGGGGGGUUUACCCUCGAGUGAUGUCGUUCCUGCCCUGGAUCAAGAAAGAAAUGAUGACGCACAAGAUCAACAUUUAACGGUCGUUGUUAUCUCGGGUUGGCUGGUGAGGACCCACUUCCAAAAAUCUUUUGAGCUGAUAAUUAUUAACUAAAGGCAAAGGACUCGUUGGACCGCACUGUACCGCAAUUAUUUCAUUUU